AUUGAACGCUGGCGGCAGGCCUAACACAUGCAAGUCGAGCGGAGCGGUGGACGGGCGAGUAAGGCCUAGAAAUCUGCCAGGUUGUGGGGGAGAACGUCCGGAAAGGUGCGAAAAUACCGUAAACUAUUGGAUGAGCCUAGGUGGGAUUAGCUAGUUGGUGGGGUAAUGGCCUAACAAGGCGACGAUCCGUAACUGGGCUGAGAGGAUGAUCAGUCACACGGGAACUGAGACACGGUCCAGACUCCUACGGGAGGCAGCAGUGGGGAAUAUUGGACAAUGGGCGAAAGCCUGAUCCAGCCAUGCCGCGUGUGUGAAGAAGGCCUUCGGAUUGUAAAGCACUUUAAGUGGGGAGGCGUUACCAACAGAAUAAGCACCGGCUAACUCCGUGCCAGCCGCCGCGGUAAUUC
rnacentral:rRNA from 1 species